AGAGUUUGAUCAUGGCUCAGGACGAACGCUGGCGGCGUGCCUAACACAUGCAAGUCGAACGAAGCAUAGUAAUAUGCUUAGUGGCGGACGGGUGAGUAACGCGUGAACAAUCUGCCCUAUACAGAGGAAUAGCCUCGGGAAACCGGGAUUAAAACCGCAUGACACUUUAGAAUCGCAUGAUUCAGAAGUCAAAUUGAUUAGAGGUAUAGGAUGAGUUCGCGUCUGAUUAGCUAGUGGGCGAGGUAACGGCCCACCAAGGCGACGAUCAGUAGCCGGACUGAGAGGGUGAACGGCCACACUGGAACUGAGACACGGUCCAGACUCCUACGGGAGGCAGCAGUGAGGAAUAUUGCACAAUGGAGGAAACUCUGAUGCAGCGACGCCGCGUGAGUGAAGAAGGUCUUCGGAUCGUAAAACUCUGUCCUUGGUGAAGAAAGAAAUGACGGUAGCCAAGGAGGAAGCCCCGGCUAACUACGUGCCAGCAGCCGCGGUAAUACGUAGGGGGCGAGCGUUGUCCGGAUUUACUGGGCGUAAAGGGUGAGUAGGCGGUUAUACGUGUCAGAUGUAAAAGGCUAAGGCUUAACCAUAGUUAGCAUUUGAAACUGUAUGACUUGAGUGCAGGAGAGGUAAGUGGAAUUCCUAGUGUAGCGGUGAAAUGCGUAGAUAUUAGGAGGAACACCAGUGGCGAAGGCGACUUACUGGACUGUAACUGACGCUGAGUCACGAAAGCGUGGGUAGCAAACAGGAUUAGAUACCCUGGUAGUCCACGCUGUAAACGAUGAGUGCUAGGUGUUGGGUAGCGAUACUCAGUGCCGAAGUAAACACAAUAAGCACUCCGCCUGGGGAGUACGGUCGCAAGACUGAAACUCAAAGGAAUUGACGGGGACCCGCACAAGCAGCGGAGCAUGUGGUUUAAUUCGAAGCAACGCGAAGAACCUUACCAAGGCUUGACAUCCCCUUGACCGGCACAGAGAUGUGCCCUCUCCUUCGGGAGCAAGGGUGACAGGUGGUGCAUGAUUGUUGUCAGCUCGUGUCGUGAGAUGUUGGGUUAAGUCCCGCAACGAGCGCAACCCUUAUCCUUAGUUGCCAGCAUUAAGAUGGGCACUCUAAGGAGACUGCCGAUGAUAAAUCGGAGGAAGGUGGGGAUGACGUCAAAUCAUCAUGCCCCUUAUGUCUUGGGCUACACACGUGCUACAAUGGUCGGUACAAAGGGCAGCGAAAGAGUGAUCUGGACCAAAUCCCAAUAAACCGAUCUCAGUUCGGAUUGUAGGCUGCAACUCGCCUACAUGAAGUCGGAGUUGCUAGUAAUCGCGAAUCAGAACGUCGCGGUGAAUGCGUUCCCGGGUCUUGUACACACCGCCCGUC
rnacentral:rRNA from 1 species